rnacentral:rRNA from 1 species
AGCCUGAACGCUGGCGGCGUGGCUAAGACAUGCAAGUCGUACGGGUGUAGCAAUACACCAGUGGCGAACGGGUGAGUAAUGUAUCGCUAAUGUGCCCCGGAUUCUGGGAUAGCUAUCCGAAAGGGUAGGUAAUACCAGAUGAUAUAACUUUGCCGCAUGGCAGAGUUCUCAAAGGAGUAAUCCGCUCUGGGAGCAGGCGAUAUCGUAUCAGCUAGUUGGUGAGGUAACGGCUCACCAAGGCGACGACGCGUAGCCGGACUGAGAGGUUGGCCGGCCACAUUGGGACUGAGACACUGCCCAGACUCCUACGGGGGGCUGCAGUAACGAAUCUUCCGCAAUGCACGAAAGUGUGACGGAGCGACGCCGCGUGUGGGGACGAAGCCCUUCGGGGUGUAAACCGACUGUCAGGGGUUAGAAAGUUCUGAUCAACCCAGAGGAAGGCACGGCUAACUCUGUGCCAGCAGCCGC